GUGAGAGCAGUUCUGUCCCAUUCCCACUCUUCUUGUUGCAUACUGCUCUAGGAGGGAGCUGCAAAUGCCACUGCCAGGGGAUACAGUGGUGCCUGGCAUGCAGGGCACCUCUGAACCCCCGUAGGACACUAUAUGUAGCACAGGUCUAUAAUUUACUCCACAGUCAUGUGUUCCAUAUUAGUCAAUCAUGCUACUGAGGUUUGGGGUUUUUUUUUGUCUAUUUAAAUGAUGCCAUUAACCUUUGUAGUACACUGGGUUUUUCCUCUGUAAUAACAUUUGUCACUGCGCUAGUACACAAUUCUAUUUUAGCAGUUUUGAAGUCUGCAUUAGUUGUUAAAAUACUUAAAAUACUUCAAUUUAUUUUUUCAAUCUGUUUCUUUGGAACCGUGUAGGUUAAAAAAGCUUGUGCUUCAACUGUUGCUUAUACUGUUUUAUUUAUCUAUCUGUCUAUCUAUCUAUCUAUCUAUCUAUCUAUCUAUUUAUUUUUAAGUUGGCAGUUUUUACUUGCCUUUCAGAGACCAACAGCAGAAAUGGGAAGUUCGUAGAAGAGUACUGAUAAAUAGCUGACAACAUAUUUUCUUUUUUUUAGAGCCCUUAAAAUAAUUUUGACUGUUUUAGGCAUUACCUGAUGCCUUACAUGUAGCCAGCUAAGCCAGACCCUAUGCAGAAAAAAUGUUAUGUUAUGAAAAAAAUGUCAAAUUCCUCUUGGGUACAAGCUGUUACCUUCACUGAAGUAAACUAGUAUUUUAGAAUAUAUGCUGGAUUAGUCGUACAGGGGCCUUAGAAUAUACUUUGUUAAUAUUAGUAGUUGGAAUUUUUUUGUCUUUUUUAAACUUUCCGUGGCUGGUGCUGUGUGCUGUUUCAUUUUGUUGUGAGAAGGUACAGUGAUCGACAGCUGUGGUGGAAGCAGAAGCAGCCUGGCACUGCACAGGAAGCAGUUAUGGGGCAGGUCCUGUUGCUGUCUAGCUGUUCUGCAGAUUUUCCAUGAGUGAUCGUAAAACUGAAGACCCUUUCCAAGGAUCCUGGCUGUAAUUCUGUGACAGUAUGUGUAUGCCAGAAAUUUCAACAAAGUAGCAGGCUUUCUCGUGGUUGUUAUUUUGGAGUUUUUUUCAGGUGGUGUGAUAGUGUUGUCAGGGUGUGAUAUACACCCAUAUUCUGUGGAUUUGAAGAAAGAACCAGAGCUGUGCAUUUCUGUUUGAAAGUUGAAACUUUUAUCAGGUGUUAAAAGCUGUGCACCAAAGGCACCUGUGGUGAAAUCAGUGGACCUGUGAUUUUUGCAUCUAGUUUAACAGUCAUGGAAGUGGUUUAACUUAUGAUACGGUUUUGUAGCAUUCCUUUCUCUGUCAUCAUACUUGGCUUUGCUUUUUUAUUCAACACCUCCACGUAAAAUAAACUGUUGUUUCUCUGGAAAGUAUACUGCCUAUGUAGAGAUUGUGUUCUCUUUCUAUCCUGGUGAAGUGGUCCAAGAAGACGGUCAGUAAUUUUGAGGUGAAAUUUGUUUUCUUCCAUCAAGGUACCUGGACCAUUUUGGAAAGAGGGCAGAAUCCUUUAAUCAGUAUGUGCUGAGUCUCUGUGCUACUUUUGCAGUGUGAGGGCUGGCUUGGGCAUGUAAUUCAAUGAUAGAUGUGAGUUAAAAUCAGCUGAAAGUUUAAUAGAAGUUUCUUCUUGUACCACCCUGCCCACUGUGGGGCUGGACUUGAAGUGUUUCCAGCUGUCAGGAUGGACUAGCAAGUAGUGAACUGCAAUGGCUCUUUUGUUACUGGUGGAAGAACCAUCUGAAUAAAUGCUAAGGCUGGGCUCUUUGGGAAAGAUUUUUCUGGUUUUUAAAUGCUUACUGUUGCAGUUACUCAGAAAGAGUUUGUACACUGUGUAACUACUGUAUGUGAUUAACUCUUGUGUGGGGUGAAUUAUGUCACAUUAAGUAUUGAAUUCUGAAAGAUUACUGGAUCAAGAAAAAUAAUACAAACCAACAAGUUACUGGAUAUUAUCUGUUAAUCAGCAGCUUGGUUCUUAGGAAAAUCUACUAAAGCUCCUUGAAAAAAAGGCUAAUUUUGUGGGAAUGAUUCAUGUAUUAGGUGAGUCAGUUAUCUUUCACUAAGAGGACACUGGCUGCAAAAUCACUGGAAUAAGCUCCAGCUUUAGUAAUUCUGCAACAAAUGACAAACUGUAUUUGCAGCAGAAUGUUUUUAAGAAGGUCCAUAAGACGUUUUCAAGGAAAUGUUUUCUUGCCUGUAAAUUCUCUGUUAUUCCAGCAGAGGGUAGUUUAUCCUCUAGGAAGCUAGGUGUGUUGAAGGAAUGAUUGGGAAAGGUAACUUAAUGAUUCCCAUUUCCUCUUGUUUUAGAUAAGGCAAUAAAAAUUAACUUCAACUGACUGACCUCAUCAGAUUAACAAAUACUAAAACAUACUGUUAGGCUACGAUAUGUUCUUAGGCUGGGACUGGAAAGGGCAGCCAAAUUCAACAGUAGUCCCAUUUCUGUCCUGCUACCAAGGGCUUCAUUUGCCCUUCAAGAAUUACUGCAGUUUGUUGUGCUGAGAAUAGUUGCAUUAUCAGCCUAAGAGCUACUUCACUUUAUCAGCUAGUGAAGUAGAUACAUGAAGCAUUUUUUAUUUCAAAUACAUAAAUCACUCCACUUGAAGAGUGUUUGGCUUGUUUGCUGUUCCUUAAAAGCCCUUCUUUCUGCCACUGUACCCACUGCUGCAGCAGCUGACGGCGAGGAGAAUAUAUAUUUGCAGGUGUUUGUGCUAGUACCCACCUGCAGCUGCUCUCUGCUCUGCUCACUGGUAGGGGGUGUUGACUGGGGGAUGUUCUUUCUAUGGUCUCCUCUUCUGUGAUACUUUAUUUUAAAUCAGUCAUCAGGAAGUAGUCCUGAAGUAAGCUUUUGUGACUGUCAGUCCUGAGGUGCAGCAGAAACUCGAGAAAGCACGAGUGAGGACAGUGAUGACUGAAUAUAUGAAAGGGUAGCAGAAGAGAUGUGAGGAUCCACAGUUGUUCUGUUGCCACGUUUCAAUGGAGCCCUAUUACUCAGAAUUUGUUUCCUUCAAAGCAGCGUUUCAGCUCCUCAUGGAUAUUGGCCUUUUUGCCUGACUUCUAAAAAGAAUAUACUAAUAUCUAUCUUUCUAUUUGUCUUAGUGAGAGGUGUAAUAUGGUUAACACUAUGCUGCAUAUCUUAAACUUCUGUAUAAUUUGCUCUAAAAAAAAUCGUCAAGGAGUAUUCCUGUAAGAAACCUGUGAAUAUGGUCAGUGUCAAUCAUGUCCAUGCUUCCAUGACUAGCUUGAUUGAUCUUGGUGUUACUUUCACUUGGAGCUUUCCCUGUGGUGCGCAGGACUUCUAUUUUUUGUAUUUUCGUUCUUUUUGUUUGUUUGUUUUUGUUAACACGUUUGCGUCAGAUAGGCAUGUAAUUCAAAUCUAGCUGUAUCCCUCUGUGUUACAGACUUUCCCUCCCCUUUUCUAGUUUUGAAUUUGCUUUCAGAAAUGACACGUUAUUGUUUUCUAUUUAUAAUUUUCUAUUUAUUGGGUAAGAAAGCCCUAACUAUAUCAAGGAUGAAUAAUGUAUCUAAAUUCUUUAUUUUGGAGCAACACAGGUAUAACCAGUUAACUUGCUUCUAAUUUUUAAACCAAUAUUCUACAUGAUCAAAGGAAUAUAGGAAAACUUUUGCAUGGAUCAGUAGAAGACACGUCGUACUCUCUACCAAUUAUACAAGAAGCCUAGGCAAUUAAUCUCUUAUUGCAGGUGCUUUGAUAAGCUAUUUUACUGACAUGGGAUGAUUUCAGAUCUGAAUACCAAUCCAAGAUCCCUUUUUCUAAACACCAGACAGACAAAAGAAGGAGGGGGAACCCAGGAAAGCUUUUCCAAAGUCAUACAAAAGCUGAAAGAAUUAUUUAAGAACCUGAUUCUGGAUUCAGGAAGCGGAGUGGCUGCAGUUUUCAUCUGAUCUGAGGGGGAAGAAAGAAUGAAGAUUGAAGCUGCAAUCAUGUCACCUGAAGGAUUGCACUUUAGGACUGUUUGCUUUAGUAUGGUAAAUGAAGUGUCUGUGUCCUUCCCAUCCUUUCGUAGAUAAACUGGCUUUUUCAUUUCCUGAAUCCUGGGAAUGAUGUCAGAGAAAAUGAAAAUUAUAACCCAGGAUAUCUUAAGUAUUUCUGUGGUAUGAGAGUCCCCUUGAGACAUGCUGACAAGAAAGAAGAAGGAAAACAAUGCAAAGGAGCAAUGUUUCUUGUUGGAUGAUAAGGGCCUCUGGAGAUGUCAAAGGUUUAUGGCAUCUCAUUUGUGAUUUCUUCCUGCAUGUAAAUCUGUGAUAUGCUUACUGCAGUAAUGCUUCAGCCUCACCCACCUGAGCAAGUGCAAAUAUAGCAGUGUUGUGGGACACUGUCUCUGACAUGGCAGAUCUCGAAGGAAUGUGUGUGAUGUAUCACUCAGUUCAUGGACAUGUAUGCCAUGUGGAGAGCAUUCCUGCAUAAUGUCCUGAUGCAUAUUAAUUAGACAAGCAAGAUACUCAUGUGAUGUAAAUCAGAUUCUUUCUUGGAAAUGUACUGAUUCAUAUCACAAGUCAGAAUCUAACCCAGUUUGCCCACUAUGUCAGAAAUUAUAGUCUGUUUUACAAAUAAUCUAAACUAUUUUUAUAUGUUCAGGCAGAGAGAAUGUUUUAUUUUAGUGAUUAAUGACUAAUCAUAUUAAUUUUAUUAGUGUGAUGAGAGAAGGAAUAUUAUCUGUAAAGGCUGUGGAAAGAUGGUAGCUUUCAAGAGAACUGGUGGGGCAUACAAAUAUGGGAGGUUUGGUGGUAAGACUGCGAAUGAUGGAAGAGAGGAAUACAAUGGGAGCAGGUGGAGAAACAGAGUUGGAGAAAACUUGUUUUGUAGGUGCACUUCUUUUUCUUGGAACUUCAUUAUUUGAAUAUCCUAAAGGUGGUCUUCACUCCAUUUCUUCAUGUCUUUCUGUUGGGUUACAGUAAAUGCUCUCAGUCUGAGCUGCUCGCUCUAUUGCUUUGUGUGCACCCAGAAUUGUGCUGACCCCAAGUGAUCGAGGUAUUUCCCCACUCUGGCAGAGACAUUGUGCUUCUUGAUCUCUUGUCUAAGCUGCUGGGCACUACACUCAAAAAAAAAAAUCACAAAAAUUGCUGCAGCUUCAAGGUUUGCUGUACCCAGGUGCUUGGUUGUGAAUUUGCAUCAUUAAAGUUAGAUGAUUACGAAACCUCUAGGAAAAGGUGAGUUACAUGGCAAAUCCAACAGGCUGAAUGGAGAGUUGCUUGGGAGGGAUCUUGAAAAGGAGGAGUGCCUUAAGCAGUGUCAUUGUCUGGGACUGGUGUCCUUCAAGGCAGGCUCCCUUUCCUGAAAUUAGCCAUAUGGCCUUUUUUGUUCAAAAACUCUUACUGCUCUGUUGCUUGCCUGCCACUCCCAACGUGUGCUAUGCACUACCUCAGCAGUUAAAAGGCAUCAGGCUUGCAUUCAGUUCCUUUCUCUGCCUGAGGGAGCUCUAAUCAGCAUCUCCUAUCUUCCAGGAAAGUAUCCUGGCUAUAAAAUACUGAGGUGGGAUGGUUGCAGUGUCUCCUCUUGAAGGUGUUUUGCUGUGCGUGGAAUAAUUAAAUAUUAAUUGGGAGUGCGAAAGAAGAUCAGUUUACUGAUUAGCUCACACAUCUGGGAGUAGAGAGACAUGAGUUUUAAGCCCUAGCUCCAGGGAGUGCUUGUCAUUGGUCCUGCAGUCUGUCUUCAGCCUGGUUUUCUGAGGAUGUCCUUGAUUGGAAUGCCACAGUUAGGGGAAGCAGCAGAAUGUGGAACUAUCCAUAGAUAUGAACAGAAGUGAAACUGAUAAAAAUUAAAAUAGUGCUAGAGAUGUCAGCUCUCUUGAGCAAUAGCAGCUGAGUGUGCUGAUAGGCAGGUUUAACUAACAGGGAUGAUGCUGAGUAUCUAAUUUUGGAACUUAACCACCAAAUUAAGUGUCUAAAUCCUACCUCUACAGAGGUAUCCUACCUCUGCAGAUCUAACCAUAAAUGCUAAUGCAUGCUGAAAAUGUAAGGUAUUUUUACAGUCCUGUGCAACCUCUUGUGCUGAUAUCAUUGAUUUGCUCCUUUUUGUAUUGUAUGUACCUCUCAAACCUCCUCCUUGUGUCUUUCGCUUUCACAGCUUUCCAUUUCCAUGCAUGCUUCAGUUUAUUCUAUCAAGAAUCCCUCAGUUCCUUUUUGCUGGAUUCCAUGUCUAAAACUGCUUCUUCGAAUACACUGUGCCAUGUAUCAAGGCUGAUCGGCUUACCAGUGGUUUCUGCAGGUUGUUUUUAGCUUUCAUUACUUCCUUACUGGAGUGCUUUUGAUGCCGUAUUAACCAACUUGACUAAUGUGUGGCAAUGAUGGUAUCGAUGCUCUUUCUGCUCACUUUUUUUUCCUACAGGAACUAAUCAAUGUAUUUUAUCUGAAUUACUAUCCUAGUUUUUGAUGAUUAUUUUACUGGAUAGUGGUUGGUAAUCUCCUUUUGAGAGAUAAAUGGCUCAUCCAGUAUCUUAUAAAAAUGUAUAAAGAUAUAAAUGGUAGAAAUUGUCUGUACUAAUAACAUUUUUAUCAGUGAUUUAAUCUCUUCCAGUGUUUAGGGAUUAUGCAGUUUAUAGGACUUUGUUCUAUUUCUUUAAUAAGUAUGACCAUCAAGAAAAGAACGUGCUUUUUCCCUCCCAGUUUCAUUGCUGGUUCAGAAGGAACUGGGAUGCUAACUAUAUUUUUAAGAUGUAAUCUGAUAUAUUUCUACUUGUCAAGUACUAAGCAUAGAGUACUACCUUCAGUCUUCGAAGUGGUGGUGGGUGUUAAAGUUAGCACUUUACUGCAAGCUAAAGUUUUUUACCAGAACCCAGUCAAGAAAGCUAAAUUGGCUGUGGUAGUUUUCUUUCACUGUCACAAGGCUUUGCUAAUACCAUAGUGUGCUUUUAAGACUCUUUCAGUAGCUAAGAGAGUCCCACUUAACAGAGUAUUACAGACAUUUAUGUAAUAAAAUAUGUGACAUCUGUAAGCUCUACUGUCUUGAAAUUGUUAAUACAAAAGAUAAUGUUGUAGACGUCAAUUUUUGGAGCAGUUCCUAUUCAGGAAGUUUAUAUGCCAGUGGCAGCUGUAGUGAAUAUUUUGAAAAAUUUGAGUAUUUUGAAAAAGUGUGUCUGUUCUUGCAGGACUUUACUGGAAAUUCUCAGCAUUGUGUUUUGUCUGGGAAUGAGAAGAGAAUGUGUUAGAACAAUACCUAAGCAUUUACAAACUGAAAAACCUGCUAUCAAGCGCUUUUUAAUCGUAACCAGAAACUUCUUCAGCUGUCUGAAAUAUCUAACAGCAUGGCAGAUUAUUGAGUAUUUUAGUGAUAGAGAGUACUGCAGUAUCCAUUUUGGUAGACCAAUGUGAACUUUUAAAAAUACAAUUUGUUUUAUCUGAAGGACACACAGAUAUUAGUAUCAUUCCAUUUUAAAGAAAAUGGAUCACCACGACAUUUUGAGAGCAUUAGUAGAGAUACUUUUGACUAAGUGCUUACCCACUGAUUGAAAAGCACAAUGCAUUUUCAUUCAGCCCCAGCAUAAAGCAUCUGUCUUUUAUCUAUGCAGAGACAGAGUAAGAAGCAUGUAUUCUUUUGAUACUUUUGUUAAAUGUUUGCCCUGUUAGUUUAAUUUUUUUAAUCUGUGUCCUGCAUUAAACCAACAACACUAAGUGCAACGUAUGAUUUUCAUUCAGACUGAUGAACUCAGUUACUGUACCCAAGGUGUUUAGCUUUGCAAUAAUUUCUGGCAUCAUAAUUCAAAUCUGAAUUAACUGUCUCUAUACUUUUUUAUUCUCCAUCUCCCAAAUAAUUUAGUAUUAAUGAUAAAACCUGAUUCUCGUUGUGAAUUUACCAAUAAAGCAGUUAUGAUACUGGUCUUAGGGGAAAAAGUAUGCAGAUAUGCUUGGAAUUGCCCAAUUAGUAAUUUCUUUCUAAUUUCCCUGUAGCAGGGAAGUAGUGAAAAGAGCUUUUGAUAUCCAGCCAAGACAGUUGCAUCAUAAAGGUUUUAAAAUGACAAAUUAAAUUCCAUUAAUUGUGACCUGUUUCUAUGAAAACCUAAGUCAAACCAGAUUGAAAUCAUGCUGUGCGGUUCCUGGCUCGUGCUUUCAGGAUAUUUAUGUUACCAGAAUAUUUGCUAACUGGUGGAACUGAAGGUAUGUUGAAAAUGUUAUCAACUCUUGACAUGAUGAGAUGCACAAAUGGGCAUUAUUUUUUUUGUCAGCUAUUUUUCACUCACAUUUUUGUUCUUUUUUGUUCUUGAGACUAUUUGUGUCUUUUUCAUUUCAUUCUUCACCUUUUUUUUUUUUUCAAGCAGCUUUAUUUGAUUUGAACCAUCUGAUUUGUUUGUUGUCUCAGAGAAACAUGAACAGUGUGCAGACCUGAUAAAAAGUAGUAUUGGGGACACUGUGUGACAACUAAAAGCUUGGAGUUUUUUGUUUCAUUUUAAAACCUGACUUUUUUAUAAUCCUUUUUCUUACGUUGUGUGCAUGUUUGUAACCCCUGAAACUGUCACUUUGGGUUAUUCCUGGAAAUGGUGCAGUUUGUAUACAGAGCAGAGGGGCUAAAACUAAUCCAGACCAUGUCUCCUGUCUUCAGAUCACCAACCUUAAAGCCAUUUCUGAAUUCCUGUGGGGCAUAUGUUUUUGAGGAAGAUUGCAGAGGGGCAUAAAAGAAGAACUGCAUCCUAAAUUUACAUUUAAUUUCCUACAUGCACUUUAAUUUGGCCUCCAGAAGUUUGUUUAGCAGAAUCCUUAGAGUCAACAGAACUCUUGAGCACUAAUGAGAUACAGAAAGAUAAAUACACUUCAUAAUAAAUUCAUGUUACUAUCCACUCAGAACAAAUUUUAAGGAGGCAAAUGAAAAUUAAAUAUUUAUAAAUAAAAUGAACUGAAUUGCAAAACAAAUUUCAGUCUGUAAGAGGAAGGGGAAGCCUUCUGAAAGCUAAAAUUGCUGUUACAGUAACUGGAAGGCUCAAAUAUUGCACAAGAGAUUUAGCCUGACAGCAGAUGAACAGUUUAGGGAAAUGAACAGCCGAGCAGCUCUGUUUCCAGUAGAAGUAAUAGACUCAGCAGAUUAGUUGUGGAGAUUGUAGCCUCAGCAAUGGAGGGCUAGUAAGGUGUUUAAUAUUUUUCUGGUUUUAAGUCUUAAUGAUCUAUGUCUGAAAAGCACGCUGAGAGAUGCUGCUGACAGUUUUUAAAAAGGAAGCUCAGACUUUAGUAGAACUUGUCUUCUCAGUAGGGGUACAUACUCUUGCCACUUCUCUCUGCUUUUCAGCUUGCUCUUGCUAUUUAAUCUUCAAAUUGUUUCUGAGCCUUUGCCAUGGUGGAUGGAUGCUGUCUUUUUGCUAAAAAUAAACUUGCAGUUUGAGAAGAAUUAACAGAGAAUUUGCUUGAUGUCCUGCUGAAACCUGCAUUCCACUGAAGCUGCAUUUCAGCUUUAGAUGACUGAAAGGCAAAUCUUUGUCUUCAUAGAGAUUAGAUCGCAAAUAAAUUACCAAUAUGGAGAUUUUCACCCAAAUAAUGGCCCUGUGCAGGCCUUUACAGAUCUGUAUUUGUUGAUCUAUACUGUAGGGGUCAAUAAAUAUUAUACUUUUUAUGAUAUUUAGCUCAGGAUGAGACACUGAGAGGAAAAUCCUUGCUUGAUUUCAGUACGGCCUCUCAGUGAUGCUAUGAAAGAAAGAUACAUUUUGAAAUAUCUCCUCUGUUAGGUAGCUGCACUUUUGCUUUUCAAGAAUGCUUCCCUGGCAAGUCCAGCAUUUCCCUCUUUUCCUCUUGAGUCAGAGGACUACCCAUGUCACCAUUUCCUUGGUAGUUACAAGCUUCUGCCAUGAGCUUCUCUGUACUUUUGCCUCUGAGUAAUGGUUUUUCUCCUACUCUUUUUAAAUUUCUUCUCUUUUUUUCUGUCACCAUACCUGCAUUUGUCAGUGACUUCUGUGAACACUGACUCUUGGUUUUGCCUCAUGUGUCUUGUAUCCCUGAUGAUGUGUGCCUGCAUUCUCUGUAUACCGUAAACCAGGAAAAAUGCCUAGUGUUUUUGUUUAUUUUAUCCAUUUCCAGAUUUGCAAGUACAGAUGUGCUCCUGUUGCAAUAAUACUUCGUAAUGUAAAUAUUUUCUAUGUAUAUAUUGCAUAUAGUACCUUUUGUUUAAAAACCAAAACUGCUGUUGUUUUUUUACACAAUUAAUCCUUUCUGAAUGAGAUUUGAACAGAUGAAGAAAAAAAGAAUUUAUAAGAUAUUUUUUGCUAUGAAUUAUUUCCUGGCAUUAAAAUAAGGAGACACAUUCUCCCAGCAGAACAAGAGAACAUACAUAGAACAUACAGUCCUAAACACUCAGCAAUCAUGUUUUUUGGUUGAAGUAUUUAUUUUAAAAUGCAAUACAGUUAGAAAAUUAGGAAUGCCACCUGUUUGUAAUGAGGAAUGGACAACAUCCUGGGACAGAAGUGAAAAUGAACAAAUUGACUGAGGUUGGGAUUGUCGUUCUGAUUGCAUAAUAGUGAGUGUGUGUCAGCUGGAGGGACAGAGAGAAGAGGGAGAUCAGAGGUUCAUGGGAGGGUGUUACUGUGUAAGUGUGCUGACAGUUUCAGGGGCUGUAUUGCUUUGAGCAUGUGGGGCUAAUUCAAGUGGUAAAGAGCACAGCUGUCUGAAACAGCAAUACUGAGACCCAGAGUUAAAAAUUAGGUUUCAGAUACAUUUUUAAAAGAGGUCUUACCGAGAGCUUAUUUACUGGCAGAUAGAGACUUCUUGGGCUGGAGUGAGGGGAGAGGGCCAGGGCUGAAGUCUUCUUAUUCAGCGUGCCAAGAACCUUGUGCCAGCAUCAGACUUGGGACACUUAUGGUCCCAUGGUCAUCACUUUUUAAGCUCUCCGACAGAGAAGUAAUUUGGUCUUUCUGUUGCUAGACUGGCUUGUUGGAAUAGGUUUCAAAAUGUGACUUGCACCAAGUGACAGUAACAAUUUAUAGGGAAAUCUGAAAGGUCUGGUGCUGUCUUCUCAAGCCUUAUAAGCAGCCUGGGGAGUUUUACCAAAAUCGUAAGAGAUACAGAACUAAUGGAAAUUGAAAAUCCUAACACAAAGUUUUAUUCAAUGUACAUCUAUGUAUCCUCAUACUUAAAAAAGCAAGUCUCCUCUUUAACCUGAAAUAUAAAAUAUCCAAUCUCAAAAGCUUUGAAAUAGCAAAUCUCAAAAGUUUUAGCACAGGAAUUGCAAAAAUAUAUGUAUCAGAUUAUUUCCUGUGCUUUCUGAUAUAUGAUAUUUUUAUUUGUUCUAAAGAUAUGGAGUUAUUUCCUAAAAAUAAUUUGUUGAGACUGUCUCAUUGUGCUGAGAAACCCUGCAGCAUCAGCUUUCGGGGUUCUUAACUUUAUGAACUAACAGGAAUAAUACAAGUUUUAACAAAAAGAAAAAUCAUGGAACAACGUAGCAGGGAUUUAGAAAUUCUAUGCAGUGUUCAUUAAGUGCUUUUUGUCUGCAGCUCUCAGGUUCCAUAACUAUCAAUUCUGCAGAAGCAAUCCAAAGUCUUCUUAAAUUGUUACUCAAAAACUUUCUAAGGUGGAACUCAGUGGCACAUGAAGAAGUUUACGACUUCAGUUUUGUGAAAGUUUAAAGAUGAACAUAGCUGGCUGCACUAAUGCAAUAAAGGCAAGGACAGAAGGAUCUUACAUUUAGAGUCUUGCUUUGAUGUUUGCAUCUUCCCUGGAAAGAAAUUUUGUGCAAACAAUUGAAUGGUGUAUAAAAAAAAUUUGCUCCACAAGCACCAUGGGAAAAAUCUUGUAACCACGCUCUAUGUAGUAUAGAGAAAUUUGAGAUAAAUAGGCAGAUUUCGUCUGAUUUCAAUAGUCUUACAGUGUUACGCAGAUGUCUUCUGUAAGGGAAAGUCUGGAAAUUCCUCCUAUUUUAAACUGCAGUUUUGUCACCAUUUAGAUUAAACUGAGUGUGGGCUGCUGUGCUAUACUUACGGAUAUCUUUUUCCUGUAGGUGUUUGUUGACUCAUAUUGGGGUUUAUGUUUCUGAAAGAUUGUUGCCUGGAGUGCUUUCACCUGAAUUUGGAGGUUAAUUUUCCCCUUAAUCUGUAUCUUGAUCUCACUGAAUGUGAUCAUACAAAGGCCUUUAGGAAUGUGCAGCUGAGGGAGGAUGGGGUUGUUCCUUUCAGCAGCAGCCUAACUCCAGCAGUAUUUCAGGUGCCACAGAGACGUCCCCUGAGACCAUGUAGAAUUGUCCUCUGACAGUGGCAGUCCAUCUCAUCUGACCACAGAAGGAAUCUUCUUAACUUGCUGAAACAAUAUUCUUUAUCUUAAAUAGUAAAAGCAAAUGUGAUCAAUCCUGCUCCCAAAGUCUAUGUUUCAGAAUAUUGUAUUACAUAAGAGAGUAUUUGUGCUGGGAUAUGGGCAGGUACCUUUAAGAAAACAGUAUUAAUUUAAAAAUCAAUUUCCAUGACAUUUUCUAAACUUGAUGCUAUUUUAUGAGUGAAGUAAUAAUCUGUUUUCACUGUCCUGUCUACUGAUGAGUAUGACUUGUUGCUCACAACUUUAUUCUAUAAACUAACCCUACUGAUUUCACUUAGUUGCAACAAUAAACUCAAUUGCAUCAACUGAAAGGACUAUAUUUAUAGAAAUCUAUUAAAUUAAUUUAAUUAUUUUGUAUUAUGUAAUUUGAUUUAUGUUUAAAAAAACUCAUGUUGCACAAAAAAAUAAUUUUAUUGUGAUUUAGGUUUCCUUGCAGUGAAAAUAUGGAGGAUGGUUUUGAUUCUGGAAACUGCUGUCUAUGUGAAUAACACCAUGAAAUUAACAACUGGAAAACUGGUGUCAAAAUUUAUAGUGAACCCAUAGUUCAUGUCUUUAAAUUAUUAAUGUUGAAUCCAGUUAAUGUCUUUGGGUUUAAUUGGGAAAUAGUUCAGAAAUCUGUCUCCUGUUUCCCCUUUGCUGUCUUUGUGUUUCUUAUUGUUGUUUGCCCACUAAAUUUAGUUUAAUUUAGUUUAAUUUUUCUUCUAACUUUUCCUUAGCAGAUUUCAGAAGUCUGCUAGGUAUGUGAAGAAAAUAGAAGGAAAAGCUGUGGGUUUGUUUGCCACAGUGUGUUUUUCCAAGAAUGCUUUGUGAAUAUUAAUCUUUUUUUUCAAUGGAAAAAAUAUUUUUCUUAAUGAUUGUAGGAAGGUGACAGUGCUUCAGUCACUGUAAAUAAAACAGCAUUCUCUUUCAAUAAAACCCAGGGAUUUUUUGUACUGUAAACAUUAUAAAGAUAUUACUCAUUAAUAUUAAUCUGGAACUGAGCUUCAACUUUAACUUUCAAACAUGUUCCAAGGAAUAGAAAAGGGAAAGACUAGGGAAUUUUUUGUACGGAUAUGUCUUCUGGCCGGAUGUUUUUUUACCAUGGAGGUAAACUUUCUUUGUGUGCUUUGGCUCUCGUUUUGAACUACUCAUUCUGGAGAAACAAAAUAAAGGAAAAAAAGAGGCUUACAGAAGCAUGCUUUUGACCUGAACACAGCUACUACAGAGCUUCCAAUUUCCAUGGUAUUAAAGAACAAAGACACUUCACUGAAGCACUGGGUAAUAAAGUGAAAUAAUGGAAAAUGUGUCUAUGAGGUUAAAAUAAUUGUAGUGAUACAAUACUGUGAGGACUAUGCCAAAGCACAAAGGGAUGGUUUGUUCUUAAUUUUUGUUUCCAGUGUCCUCUGUUGUUAAACACAACUCAAAAAAACAUUAUCUCGGAAUCAAAAGAGACUGUUCUGAAUGUCUGUCCUGCAUGUGAUAAUGCUGAUUCAAACUUUUUUUGUCCAAAUUAUUUGCAAACUUACACCAGCCCUGCGAAAAAUCACAUGUUCAGCAGCCUACCUGCAAGGGCUGAAUUCUGUUCAUCUUGUUCAGUAUCAACUGGUGUAAAUUCUUUAGAUCAAUUUGUCAUUGUCCUUUAGGCUGAAGUACUUCAUGCAUGCUAAAUGGCAUUGAUUCAAUUGGAAUUAAAUGUGUGUGACUCUUCUGUGGAAGAAAGAUGGAAUUUUCUUAGCUGUUUCUUUGAUAUCAGAAGAUCUGUCUACUUUUUUCUAUGCUUUUUAAGAAGAAAAGUUCAUUAAUUUCCAGAGCAUAUCACCAUUUGUGCCUUUCAUUUUUAUAUGUGGUCUCUGUAAAGUAAGAUAGUUGUUCCACAGCUAGCAUUCUCAUCUCAGGAUGCAAAAGCAUAGGCACCUAAGGUGAUGUUUUCUGGCUGUAUGUCUAUGAAGCUAAAACUUCAUUUUCAAAAUCUUAGCUUUUCAAACUUCUGUCUUGUUUGUCUGUGAUAUGUUAGCAGCCACUGCCUAUGUUACCUUUCUAUUUCUGAUGACAGUUAAAGUACCUUUAAAAAGAAUUAAAAGCCUGGUUUUGCUGAAGUCAGCAGCAGCUACAGCUGUUAACUGCAGUGGGAUUAAGAACUUGAUAUCAGCAGCCUCUUGAAAGAGAAUUCCCACUUAGAACAAAACCUGCUUAAAAUUCUUCUUCAGGAUGAAUUUUACUAAGGAUUGGCACCAAAGCUUAAAUGCAACAUAAAGAUAACAGUUUAGUCUGGCUCUGGACCUGAACAUUCCAGAGAUAUAUUUCAUCCUCUUCAAAUUGUAUGGCCAAAGUCUUGAUACGUACUUCUCUUGUUUAUAAACCAUUCUAGCACAUGACAGGUACAGAAAAUACUGCAUAGAAGAAACUAUUUUUGUUGUUGCUUUAGAUGUAAACUAUUGACAUUCACCUUUGGCUUAAAUUGUGUGAAUAAUGUUCUUGAUUGCCUUUGAUGGACUCAGUUAGGAUUAGGGUAUUGGUCAUCGACCUCCUGUACUGGAAAAAGGCCAUUUGUCACUGCAUACAUUACUAACAAUCUCAGAGCUACAAAGUGUACAAAUCAUAGAACAUAUUUGUAUCUGGAAGGUCUGAUUUUUCAUUUUUGAGGUGGUAUUUUGGAACAAUGUUUGAUAAUUGUUUCACUUGACAGCUGUGUUGCUUUAAUUUUUCCUCUUUUGAUGGCUUGGACUGCAGAUGUGUGUUCCCAUACUAAAAAAGUUAGAUGAAUGCAAUAAAGGAGGAAUUGGUUUAAGUCAAAUAAUAUGAAUGUGUUUUGAUGGUCCCACUUAUUUGGGCAACUGCUUUUUCUUAGCAUUUUUUCAUUGGUGUUUCAUUUUAGACAACUCCAAAAAGAAAGAAGAUUGACAAAUAAAGCCUGUACAAUCAUCAGGUAUACAAA